UACCAAAGAGGAGCCCAUUGUAGGUGCAGCUAUAUUAAGAUCCAAUCUAUAAUACAAACUCCGGAACAAAUUAUGAGAAACUUGAUGACUCGCCAAAUAUAAACAAAAUAGAGAGAAAACUAGAGCAAUUUAUUCACACCGAUGUAUAUAAUGGUGUAUUUAAAUCCACUCCUCGUCUAAUGCUUUGAAUGCAAAACUGGUAAGUGUCAUAGCAUUAUUUAUACAGAACCAUUCUCAGAUACAAGAGUAAUUCAUCCAACUGGAGAGUAAAAUAAGCAAGAAAGCAGUGCUCAAGAUAACUGCAUAUUCUUCUUCUUAGAGGUAGGAUUUUAAGCUUGUCAUAAUUAACAGUGUUCUGCAGUAUCAUGGGUUGUAGAUUCCAAUUUCCAAAUGAGUAUUUAUCAAGACCAUUCAACAGAGUAAACAUAGAUGUGGUACUAAUCAUUUAGGAAUUCAAGAAAGAAUCAAAUUUUUUGCAAGAUCAGAUUGUUGAGCAAAAUACUCCUAAUAAGGAAAUGUUCAAUAGCAUCAAUUAGAAGAGAAAUAAAUACUGAGAGAGAUUUUUGGAACCUGAAUUUUUGCUUGUGGCAAAAUUAGUCUUGGAUCAGGUCUCAAAGAUUAAGCUUUUCCAAAUGAUAAAAGGAGCUUACUCAUAUACUAUUAAAAUUCCCAAAAAUAACAGAUCCGUAAGUGUGUGUGUGUGUGUGUGUGUGUGUAUAUAUAUAGUUUAAAAACUUCCAACUAUGCAUCCAUCCCUAAAUCAAACCAAAUGUUCAUGUAUAGUCAGGUCAAUGAUUUUUUUGAAUCCAGAAAUUUGAACAUAUUAGAAAAUUGUUAUCUUAAUUUAGCAUCUAUAUGUCACAAAUCACUCUAAAUCUCUAAUAUGAUAGAUUAUACUGAAAUAUCAACCUCAGGUUAGCAACCAUGGGAAUAUAAUAACCUGGGAUAGGAAAAAAAUUCAAGCAAUGCUUUUCUGCCCAAGUAUCCAAACACAAUCUAUUAACUGGAUAUACAAUCAGAUCAUAAAAGAACAUGACUAAGUACAAGUACUAAUAACCACGAGCUAAUUAGCCAGAGGGAGAGCAGUAAAAAAUAGAAUUUUUUUCACACACAGAGAGAGAGAGAUGAAUGAACUUACUGAAAUGGAAACUUGUUGAUAUUCUUUUCAUCAUCUUCAGGGAGUCAUCAGUGAUAUGAAAUUAGGCUGAAAGAGAGAGAAUGAAGGCCAAGGGCAUCUAUUUCCCAUAUAAAGAUUUAAGGUUUUUUAAGGAGAUAAUCUCUCUCUCCCUCUCCCUCUCCCUCUCUCCCUCUCUCCCUCUCUCCAAUUUAAGAGUGGAUUGAAACAAACCUGCCAUAUUAUUAAGUUUAACCUAAAAAUUCUAAUGAAGGAAAUAAAUCACCACGUAAACCAAAAGGGACUUUAAAGCAAAUAUGAGAUUUCUAAUUUUCAUUAAUAAGCAGUUAAGGUGUGAUCAUCAAAUAAAAAAUGCUGGAAAAUCUAAGACAGAAAGAGCACUCUUGAAGAAAUCCCUAUCAAUUACUCCAUAUUUAAUUUGUGUGGAAAUUCCCCCUGAAUAAUACUACUUAAUAGUCAUCAGAACCUAAGGAGAUGGUAAUAUUCACAGAUCUACUUAUUUGGGUCACCCUUUUACCAGAUAAGCAAAAGGAGAAAAAUAGCAAGUGUAGUGUGUUACUAUUAAAUUACAAUAAAUAUGUGUAAUGUGACUGCAUUUAUUAAAAUUGAAGUAUGAAUAUUGAACGAGAUGGGUCAAAAAAAAGCUUAAAU
rnacentral:lncRNA from 1 species